rfam:Musa acuminata subsp. malaccensis Doubled-haploid Pahang (DH-Pahang) genomic chromosome, chr8
GUGAGAGUGUGAUGUUGGUACGGCUCAAUCAAAUCAACUGCGAUUUGUGUAGCUAUAUAUAUAGCUUGAUCCGAUUGAGCCGUGCCAAUAUCGCUCUUUGCUUA